AAUGGUUUCUAUGGACGUGGCUCUGAUUCAGCCAGCAGAACAAGAGGUGGCUCAAUAACAAACAUGUCCUGUAACACCUGUUUUCAGAAAUAUGCAGAAACAAGAUUUGACAUCUUCGGAACCAGAAACUAGUCUAUGGAAAACUCUUCCAACCAUUGUACGUAUGGAGUUUUAAGCCUGUAAGUCUAUUCUACUCCACGCCUGUUUAAAAUGGAAGCUCUCUCUUAUAGGGAAUAUACUCAAUAAGGCAACAUAGAAAAUUGUAAUAUACAAACAGAUAUAAAUACAUCUUUUUAAAAAACGGUUUCGAGAAAUAUAUUUUAGGGGCGCCUGGGUGGCGCAGUCGGUUAAGCGUCCGACUUCAGCCAGGUCACGAUCUCGCGGUCCGGGAGUUCGAGCCCCGCGUCAGGCUCUGGGCUGAUGGCUCGGAGCCUGGAGCCUGUUUCCGAUUCUGUGUCUCCCUCUCUCUCUGCCCCUCCCCCGUUCAUGCUCUGUCUCUCUCUGUCCCAAAAUAAAUAAAAAACGUUGAAAAAAAAUUUAAAAAAAUAUAUAUUUUACUAGAAUUCUGUGUAAUAAGGCACAAACUGUAGGAGUGCAGUGUGUGAAUUAAAUGCUUUCUGCACCUCACUGUGUCACAUCUCAACUUAUGCCAUGUGUUUUAUACUGAUGGAGUCUGUAAAUUCUAGAUGCGUGCACCAAGAAAGACAAAAUUUUAGCAUGACUUUUUUUUUCUUAAUGUUUAUUCAUUUUUGAAAGAAAGAGCGCAAGUGGGGGAGGGGCAGAGAGAGAGGGAGACAGAGGAUCCAAAGCAGGCUCUUCACUGACAGCACAGAGCCCGAUGUGGGGCUUCAAUCCACAAACCAAGAGAUCAUGACCUGAGCCGAAGUCAGACGCUCAACCAACUGAGCCACCCAAGUGCCCCUAGGAUGACUUUUAUAUGAACUACAUCAGAUGAUACAAAACUCAAUUUACCACUACAGUAAGAACAUCCAUGACAAGCUGGAAAAUACGGUAUCGAUUCAAGAAAUAUUUAAGAUUAGACAUUGCACAAGAAAACUUAAAAUGCCUAGAAAUCUCCUGGCCCAGGACACCUGGCUGGCUCAGUCAGUAGAGCAUAUGACUCUUGAUCACAGUGUUGUGAAUUCAAGCACCACAUUGGGCGUGGAGCCUACUAAAAAAAAAAAAAAUAAAAAUAAAGAAGUAACAAGGUUUGUUUCUAUAGCCUUCUUGGCUUUAAAGUUCCUAUCUGGUGAUAAGGAUGUCUUUUUACUUCUUAGCACAGGGAGGGUACCUUUUGUAUGGGAGAUUUGUUUCCUGCUCUCCGGGGGACGGAGGAGGGUCUAAGUGUCUUGCACCUGCUGCUUCCCAAGUAGCUUCAGCUCAAAAUAAUCUAUAUUCCAUUGGGGUACCUUUUGGGCAGCCUGCCCCUCACCCCUACAACAUUGCUCUACCAGCAGUAUUAAUUGUUUGCAACUCAAGUAGCUUACUUGUGCAAAUUCUACACAACCAUAUGUCCAUACUAGAAGAAGAUUGGCAUCCCUUUCUAUUCUACGGAAGAAAACACACUAUCAGAAAAGCCUCCCUAUAGAUAGAUUUCUCUGCAUUUUUUUGCGUCUGACCCAUACUCUCCGCCCCUUAAGCACCGCUGUUGUAGUUUCCAGGCCCUUGUGGUUUCCCACCUGGACUCCUGCAGGGCCUUUCUAACUGCUCUUACUGGCCCCAGUCUCAUUCUCCUCAGAUCUGUCCUCCAGGGCGGUAUAAGAUGCACAUGUGACUGUGUCACUCUUUUAGGCCCAUCGUGAGCUCUCCAGGAUGAGGUUAAGCUCUUACCCUGCCCCAUCAGCCCAUGCCCCGCCUCUCCUUUUGCAAUGCAUGCAAGUCUUGCCUCUCUCAAAAUGUCAACUUGCUUACAAUCCAUCCUCCCCGUCCUACCCUGUCAUGUCCCCAUACCUUUGCUCAUGCUGUCCCCUCAGCCUGCAGAAGCCUUCUCUCCACUUUUCACCUUGGUUGCUCCUACUCAUCCUCCAAGACUCUGCUUAACUGUCAUCUUUUCUAGAAGCUCUCUGACCUCCUCUUUCACCCUAGUGGACUGAACACCUGCUCUCGUCUCUCUCCGCAGCCCCAAACUCCAAAAAUGAGAGGAAAGGACAAAAAUUGGUAUUUUUAAAAAAGAGGACAAGGAAUGUUCAGAGGAGCAGAAGCACUGAGGAAUUUCUGAGAGACUGAAAGUAGACAGGAUGAGAUAUAACAUUUCAGCCGAGCACAUGAGCAAACGGUGCUUAUAUUCUGGAGUGUGUAUCCUGUACUGUACAUUACACCUCAUAUUCUGGAAUGUGUAUACUGUACUAUAUAUUACAGAAGCAGGAGCAGCGACAAGGACACUCCAUGCCUGAGGUGGGGGAGGCCUGGGACAAGAAGGAGCUAACGGGCUAUUGAUUGGCAGGUGAGAUAAGCACCCCCUCGGGAGCAGCUAGAUGAGUGGACUCCUCAACAUCUCCUUAAAUCCAACCUUGGAGACAAGAUGGCCAUGACAGGAGUAUCUGUCUCUAGGUAUGAAGGAGUGAAGAUAGGACAAGGCCCAGAUGGAUGGCAAAGCCAAGGAAGAAAGGGUAGCAGCUAAGCUCCAAAGACCAAGUAUGAGAGCAUCCACCCAAGGAUCCAUCCUGCCCAUCCUGCACAUUCUGAAUGUGUGGUGCACACAUUUGCAAAGUGGCUUUCACCCCUUCAUCACAGUAAGUUACGCAAACAGAUCUUUUUUGCAGGAAAUCUCAUGGCCAAACAUGAGUUCACUACCAAAAAAUUAAAUACCCUUUGAGAAGCACCAACACCAUGAAAGGAAGAUUUAUAACUGAAGAAACAUAAUCAUUGCUAAUGUUUACUGAGCAUUUAUAUGCCAGGCACUAUUCUAAACAUACUGAAUAUAUUUAUUUUAAAAAAAUUUUAAGCUUACUUGUUUUGGGAGGGGGGAACAGAGAGAGAGAGGGAGAGAGAGAAUCCCAAGCAGGCUCUGCACCAUCAGAACAGAGCCUGACGUGGGGCUCAAACUCAUGAACCGUGAGAUCAUGACCUGAGCCGAAAUCAAGAGUCAGAUGCUUAACCGACUAAGCCAGCCACAGUGCCCCGUAUUACAUGUAUUUAAACUUUAGGGACACCUGGAUGGUUCAGUCAGUGAAGCGUCUGACUUCGGCUCAGGUCAUGAUCUCACAGUCGGUGAGUUCGAGCCCGCCUAGGGCUCUUUGGUGACAGCUCAGAGCCUGGAGCCUGCUUCGGAUUCUGGGUCUCCCUCUCUCCCUGGCCCUUCCCCUCUCGCGCUCUGUCUCUCUCUCUCUCAAAAAUAAAUAAACAUUGAAAAAAAUGUAAAAACUUUAACCCUACCAGAAAUCUUUUAGGGUAAGACUAUUUUUAUCCCAUUUUACAAAGGGGUAAGCUAAGGUGUAAGUGAUUAAGUAACUCCCUGCAAAGCCAUACAGCUUUACAGCCAUACAGCCAUACAAUUCUUCCUGCCUCCAGAGUCAAAGAUUAAAAAAAGCAAAUAGGACAACUGGUACUGAGCUUUGAAGUAAGUAUAACUAAUUUUCUCAAAUAAGAGAAGAUGAAAAAGAACCAAUUAGAGAUGUUGGAAAUGAAAAAUAUAUUUAUUUAAAAAAUUUUUUUUAAUGUUUAUUUAUUUUUGAGAAGGAGAGAGAGAGAGAGAGACAACGUGAGUGGGGGAGGGGCAGAGAGAGAGAGGGAGACACAGGAUCUGAAGCAGGCUCCAGGCUCUGAGCUUUCGGCACAGAGUCCAACAUGGGGCUCGAACCCAUGAACUGUGAGAUCAUGACCUGAGCCAAAGUUGGACGUUUAACUGACUGAACCACCCAGGCAUCUCCAAAAAUAUAUUUAUAAUUAAACAAAGAAAACCACGCCAAGUGGAUGAGCUAAGUAGUAGAACAUAUGCAGCUGAAGAACGAAUGAACUAGCAGAUUGGACAAAGCAAUUUUCCCUGAAAACAGAAAGGGAUUAAUAAAUAGAAUGGAGAAAAGAUAACAGACAUGGAAGAUAGUUCCAGAAGGGUCACGAUCCAUCCAUUAGGUGUUGCAGAAAGAGACUAGGGCAAUGGAUGUCCAGUGAAAUGUGGUUGAUUGGCAACACAAGUUUAUUUCCUCUCCCUCCCCAAAUCCCAACACCACGGCAAUAGAGGAAACCUGCAAAAACAAAAGGAACAAGAGAGAAGAAAAUGGUAGACAAAAUUUCAACACACUUUUUGAAGACAGAAAUUAUAUGGAGGAGUGGUAACUGAUUCGAUAGAAUGGAGGAUGCUUUAACUUGGGUGCACUAGAGGGAGAAAUCAAGAAGUCAGCUGAUUCUCCCCACCCACCCCCAGAAUCUCAGCCAGGCUUAGCCUUACAGAUGUAAGCUAGAGUAUGAGGCUGCAAUGAGUAUGGGAACAGGGACAUAGGCAGAAACCCUACUCAUUUUCCCUGCCCCCUUCAGCAGAGGUUCCCCCCACCUAUGGAGAAAGGGGACUCAUUUGUCAUAUAAAUUGAACUGUGGGGACUGCAGAAUGGGACAUGUAAGGCACAAUGAAUUUGUGAGGAGGAAGUAGAGUAUGGGGCUAAACAAGGAUCCAACAAAAAUCUGCAUAUUGAAUGCUGGGACCCUAGUCUCCAAGAAGGAGGCAAUCCGCAAACAGGGAACUGAAGGAUUCCCCUGGGGAGAAAAUGAGCCGCCCAGACAAAUGUCCUCCAGUGGCUGAUAUUUGCUGAUUCCCUCAAUGCAAAAGCUGAUUGAUGCUUAAACACCCUCCAGUGAACACUAUUGGUCAACAAGCCCUACAGCCAUGUAGAUUCCAUUUACCAUUGUGUGCCUCAUCCCUAAAUGCGAAUGUCCAGCCUAGGAUCACCAUCCUGGGAGGAAGGCCUCUGAAGAGGGUGAGCAACCGUCCUGGUUUGCCAGGGACCAAGGGGUUUCCCAGGACAUGGGACAUUCCUUACUAAAACUGGAAGGUGUCUGGCAAGCCAGGAUGAGCUGGUCGCCCUACUCCACAUGUGUGAGUAAGAUCCAUAUGCUUGGCUUUUGCUUAAUAAUCUGCAAGCCUGGCCCACUUGCCCAGCUCACAGCCUGUGAGCACAGUCAUCUGCUAUAAUUUGUAGGGUGUGGUGGCAAAAUCUGCCAAAAGUUAUAUUAAAUGGUUCGCGACUUUUGCUGAUCCUUUUCCAGCCUUUGACAUGAUAUAUAGGGGAAAAUACAGACUAUGCUAUUUGUAAUUGCGAGGUGGGUAAAACAAAGCUGGAUCAAAGAUGGCUUCUUUAACUUUUAACUUUACCGUUAACCACCUGAUACCACUUUUGGAUGGGUUAGAGGUAUGUUUUCCUACCUAGCUCGGUGCAGCCCGCCUGCCAGUGUGGGUUCCGAAGGGUCAGCAUCCAUGCCAUACAGGUUGUUAAAUGUGGUAGUACUGUGCCAUCCUGCUCUGUACUUGACAACAGAAAGCCAGGAGUUCUCUGGGAUGCAAAUUAUCUGCUUUUGACAUCAUGAACUCAGAAUGGUCUUAAUAGGCAAUCGAUACUGCUAUCUUAUUACCUCCAAAUACAAGGGCUACUGAUUUUGGAUCUGAAACAAUCAUUUGAAUAGAUACCCUCCAACCUUAGGGGAUUUAUAGAAAAGAAUUAUUAAUAGUAAAUUACCUUGUUUAGUUACCUUGGGAGUGCAUUUCACAACCAGUUUAACUAGCAGGGUCUGUUGUUCAAAACGAAAUGUGCUGCAGGUUUUUAUAUGUGUCGCCAAAUAGGGUGUAUGGUUACUCAUCUCCUGUACAGUUUCUCCAGGCUGAGUUUUAUUGCCAACACACGUUAUGAUGUGGAACUGCGGGGCCUCAGUUACUCACUUGUUGCAUUGUUAGGGAACUCUCAGUUUCUCCUAAAGCAGCUCGUGGCUCUGCCAGCAGGGACUCCCUUGACAACACACUUUGGAGGGGAUGUGUGUUGGCCUUUGCUCGAGGAACACGUUCUUGCUGGCACUUGAGUUUUCAUAAGAGGUUUGAAUCGAAGUUCCAGCUCCAUUUAUUAUGAAGGCAUGUGGCUCAUGUCUUAAAUGGCAAUGGAAAGUACCAACAUUCCAAGUAGAAUCUCAACCUCAUGGCCACAAUGUACUUUUUUAAAAAGCUUGGUUAAAAGAAAUGCUGUUUGUGGAUGAGUGCCUACAAAAUAUGUAUUUUAUUCAGUCUCUAGACACAUGUUCUUAAAUAUAUCACCAAUUCAGCCAGAGCAUCAGACUUGUGUGGUUGACUGCCUCUCUUGGCUUCUUGACGACCGACUUUUAGUGGAUUGUGUUUGGGUCAAUGGCCCUCAACCUCUACUGAGGGACAUUAUGCAAAAUAUGGCUUUGAACAUUGAUCCGUUGUCUGUUGUAGGGAUGCUGUUGAGCACAUUGCUUCUCAUGCCCACAGUGGCCUCUCCAUGAGGACCAUUUGUAGAAGUGAAUGCGCUAAUUGGUCUCAUGUAUCUGGAAUUAUGGAAUAGUUGCAUUUUUUUUUUUUAGCAACUUGCAAAUACUCUGGAUCUUAUAAUAGGUCAUAUUUCCGUCCCCUUAUAAUAGGUCACAUCUCCCUCUGCUGCUAGGUCUUAGAGCUAGGUUGAUAAACAAGCGUGAGACUGUACAAAGGGGACUAAUUAUUCACAUUGGCAUAGUUGGUGAAAUGGAAUCAGAGCACGGGUGUUGGCAAGGUUCUCUGGGGGAUGUGCCUGCCAUGUUGAGUGUCAGGGAAUCCCCCCCCUGGACAAGGGUUGGAGACCAACAUAGGUCUCUCCAAACCAUCUUAUAGAAGUGCCUGCAGAUUAUCCCUCUCAUGUAGGGUUGGGGUUAGGAUCAGGUAUAGUGGGGCGAUGACAUGGGGAGAGAGGCCCAUCUAGCUCUCUACCCUCUUCCCUCACCAGCUUUCUAUCUUUUAUCACACACGGCAUGGUUGGAAACAAAUGGGCACCAUAUGGGAAGUUAGGGGCCAAUUGCUUUCCAAUGCUUCACCCACCUCGGUCUCCAGAUCUAGAUUCCAGUGUUCACUUCUGUUAUGGGAGCCAGGGAACCGUAGAUGUUGAAAGUGUAGCUCUGGAGUCAGAGGGCCAAUUUCAAAUUCUGCCUCCAUGCUCAAUAGCUGAGUGGCCGUGGGUAAGAAAUGUCUCGUCAUCUGUAAGGUAGGAACGAAAACACUGCUUGCCAAACACGGUUGUUACGGAGACACAUUAUGUAACUACUGUGAAUCAUCUGCCACAGAGCUUGACGCAGCAGUAGAUGUUUGCUAUGAAGAAAUGCAUCAUGGUGGUUAAGAGUUUGGGCUUUGGAAUAGGAUAUACUGGGGUUCAAAUUCCAGCUCUUCCUGAGCCAGCUAUGAAACCUUGGGCAACUUUCUAACUUCUUUAGUCCUUAAUCUUUUUCUGUCUCCAAAUGGGACAAAUAAUACAUAUAAAACUCUUUUUUUAAAUUUUUUAAUAUUUAUUUAUUUUUGAGAGAGAGAGAGAGAGAGAGCAAGCAGGGGAGGGGCAGAGAGAGAGGGAGACACAGAAUCCAAAGCAGGCUCUAUGCUCUGAGCUAUCAGCACAGAGGCUCAAACUCACCAACCGUGAGACCAUGACCUGAGGCGAAGUUGGAUGCUUAACCAACUGAGCCACCCAGGUGCACCGCUGUACAUAUCAAACUCUUAACACACCAUUUAAUAUGAAGUGUGUGGUCUAUAAAUGAUUGCUCUAAUUUCUUACUUUACUGCCACCCCGGGAGAGAAUGUUGCUCAAGUCAAGCAGGCAGGAGGAAAUGCCUGAGAGUCCCCAGAGCUGCCAGCACUUUGGUAACAGGGGAACUUAUGUCCAUCUCUAACGUACUUUGGUAACAUAACCACUUAGAUUUAUUAUUUUCUCUGUGCUCAACAAUGAGCUAAGAGUUCUAUAUUUUUGUUUUACCUGGGACUAGGUGUGGUGGAUCUUUUGGGAGCCACCAGUGCUGUAUCAGUCUGGGUCCAGUCAGGAGACAGAAACCACAUAGGGGUUUAAGCAAUGGACGUGUAAUAUAAAGAAUAUUACGCGAUGGUGAAAGAGUAAUUAUAGGAUGUAAAGAGAGCCUUACAGGGCUACUCUCCCUACAGUUGAGGAAGGCUUCCCAAGGAAGGACAACCUCGGAAGGGGUCCACCUCUCCAAACUGUGGAUCAGGCCUUAUUGGAGAAAGAUUCAUGGCAGCCCCUGGGACGGCGGAGAAAUUUCCCGGUGCAUUGGCCGCAACUGCUCUUUGGUUGCCAGAUAAGGAUGAAGCAAUCUGCGGGAGCACAGGUGAGUCACAACCUGGAAGGUGGGGCUGCGGACAUGUAGAAGGAGUCAGGCAGCAGUGUUAGAUGGGCAGCACGGAACACACAGUGUCAGUGUCGGGAGGGUCAUGGGAAGGUGAUCACCAGGCUGGACAGGACUCUAAGGUCUCUGGGGGACCUCCUGGGCACGUAGCCGGGGAAGGGCACCAUAGGAUGUCCUACACUUGCCAAAACCAGCAGCAGAAGCCCCUUCUCAUGCAGAGUUCUCCCAGUACCCUCUGCAGAGAAGGCUCACUGUAAAGGAAAGAUGCUUAUGGGGAUUCUGCCCGUUAUCACACAGCACAUAUUCUUGGGUGAAUUUGGAGCUGAAAAGUAGUAAGUUGAUAACCAGCGGCAUUUGAAGAAAGUUGGAAACACAUACGUGUGGAUACAUAUGUUCAUGCGUGUGCAUAUAUGUGUACUAAUCCACCCUGCUUGGUGGGGUGGGGGUGGGGGUGGGGGGCGGAUACUUCUAGAAUGUUCACAGACCCUAAGUGAAGAACACCACUCAUGGUUCCCCACAGCCACAAGAAAGCCUCCAUAAAGCACUGAACUAACUCUCCGGGGGAGGUGGGGCAAGGUGGCAUGCAAGAAUCAACCAAGAGACUUCCAAAACCCUGUCCUAGUUAUGGAGGGUGACAUUUCUUCCUCCUUCUCCAUUCCCUUCUGUAUUGGUCAUGCACCCAAGGGAGACCUGAAGACUCCAGAAGGGCAAGGCCUUCUUUUUUUUUAUUUGCAUAGUCAUUUCCCCCAACCCCUAGCUAAUCUGUCAGCUUGGGCACACAGGGGGCAUUGUGCUCUGAACAUCAGGCUUCCUGGGUUACUACACAGACUCAAGGCCAGUCAUUUUCCUCCACCAACUAAACACCAAGCUACUUGUUGGGAGUGACAGACACCAGUUUCCAUACUUUCUACUGUUCAUGGCACACUAAGUUCCCACUCAUGGCCCUGCUGAGAGUAAGGGCCCAGAGGCUGAAAAUUCAUCUCUCGCCCUGCUCCAACCUCAUCGAAAGGGCCAGAUGUUGGCAGUGGUCAGAGAUGUCCGAAGAAUGAAAUCGAUUCCAUUAGGUGCUCAAAUGUAUGACGCAUGAAUGGAACCCUGUCUCCAUCCCACAUCUACCAGAGCCAGAAGGGGGCCCAGGAGCCUGUGUGUUCUGAAUAAGACUGCCCUUCCCCCAGCCACAUCACCUUUGGUAGAGUGAAGAAGGCCUUAGGAGCUCCACAUGUUGCUGGAAGGCCCUCAUCUCUCCUCCCCACACUUACUCUUCACCACCAUUAUUUGCCUAGAGAGCAUCAGGACCCAUCUUAUCUUUAAGGCUUUAUUUUGAUUUGCCUCAGUGGCUCCAAACAGUUCAGGCCCCCAGGCCAUCCCUUAUCUCCCAGACUGGAAAGCCCUUAUAGCUCUUUAUGGCCCUCUCCACCCUUUAUUUUUCCCCACAGCACCUGACAAAUAGUAAGGCCGAUUCACUCAUUUGUUGGACUUCCCCAACUGAGGGUGAGGUGUCUUGUUACAUUUGUUAACCGCUCUGCUCCCAGCAUAGAAGGUAUCUGGCAUAUAGUAGGUGCUUAAUAAAUACAUGUCCCAGGAAUGCAUGAACAAACAAAGCAUCUCCGAUGCCCUGUGUUUUGUGGGACUCAGUGUCCACUGCAGACCAGUUAGUCUUGUCAUUACCUUCCCAUCAAGGGCCUCAAUUACAGCCCCCCUGCAAUCCCCUCCCCCCCCCCCCCAGUGGCUUAUCACAACUCUCUGGCACUUUCAGAGCAUGGGCUUUGGAGACACACAGGCUCGGGGUUGCAUCCUGCUGCUGCCACCUGGAGGUUUUUAGCACCUCUAUACCUCAGUUUUGCCUGUUUGUAAAACUGGGACUUUGUGGUCAAGUGGAUUAAAUGGAAGUCUUGUGUAAAGGACUCCGCACAGCUCCAGGCACCCAGUUAAGUGUGCAGUAAAGGACAGUGGGCAAGCAGGGAGGCCACAGAGCAGGGUGGGGUGGCACAAAGAGGCUUCAUCUGCCUUCCAUCUGCUGUGGGUUGGUAGCCGAUGCCUGGAGCCCUGUGCUAAAAUGGAUUCUGGGCAGGCACUGAGCUCAGGGGGGAGUCCCGCAAUUGAUUAAUGAUGUCUGCCAUGGGCAUGGGUGCUGGAGGGUGUGGAAGAACAAGGAGAGUAGCAGACCCAGGCCACACAUUUGCCAUCCUGAUCUACAACUUGCGCCACGGCUCCUUUCCUUUUGUUCGUCUUGACUGCUUUCAAGAGUAAGAGCUCCUCUCUUUCCAGGAGCUCUUCCCUGACCUCACAGUUCUUCACACGCCCCCACCCUGAAAAGGGUAAGGUUUGCUCCUCUGAGCCCCCACACCUUUUCUGUGCUGUUCCUUUGUUAGUCACCAUAUAGCGUUUUGGAUGAUUUUUUUAACUUUCAGAUCUCCUGUCUGUAUAUAUGAGCUGAAAAAUGCCUUCAGGAAAGGUUUUGCCUUUGAGAACGGAUGUGGUAAAAUGAACAUGGUGCGCUGGAGUAGGAAUCAGGAAAUUUGACCUUGCUGUGUGAGUUUGAGCCCAUUGGCUUGCCUCUCUGAGCCUCAGUUUCCCCGAAUGAAAAUGGGAACCUUGAGUAAGCCGCCUUCCCCGCCCACUGUAUCGCAGCAUUUCAUAAGGCUCCGUAGAGAGUAAAAGCGUUCGUGUUGUGGUUGCAUACCCCUUGUGCUCUCCUUCUGCAGCUAAAACUGGAGCUUCUGCAGAUAUAUGUUGAUUUCAGCAAAGGAGUAGAAGAGAGCCUCAAAUGGGAGCAAUGGGCACUCUGGACGCCCUGACGCAGAGUCUGGAGAACGGAAAAGCCAACUUUUCUCCCCUUGUGCUUGCAAUUGGAGAAGAGUGAGGAGCCGGGAAAGGUAAAU
rnacentral:lncRNA from 1 species